rnacentral:rRNA from 1 species
UACGUAGGGUGCAAGCGUUAAUCGGAAUUACUGGGCGUAAAGCGUGCGCAGGCGGUUGUACAAGACAGAUGUGAAAUCCCCGGGCUUAACCUGGGAACUGCAUUUGUGACUGUACGGCUAGAGUGUGUCAGAGGGGGGUAGAAUUCCACGUGUAGCAGUGAAAUGCGUAGAUAUGUGGAGGAAUACCGAUGGCGAAGGCAGCCCCCUGGGAUAACACUGACGCCUCAUGCACGAAAGCGUGGGGAGCAAACAGG